ensembl:lncRNA
AAAAGAUUACAAAGAUGCGCGAAUGACGGCCAAUUCUGCAGCGGUAGAGCUGGACACUAAAGACUGCGACUGUUUCCUGUUUCAUUCCCUAUAUAUCACAAUACCGCCAUAUUUAAAACCCACAUGAGCGCCAGCAUCUGACAGAGUAGGUGCCAGAGCCCGGCAGGAGCAGACAGCAAUUAAAAUAUUUUGUCCAAACAACCUUUGGACAUAUUCAUUCAUAUCAUAUCAUGAGACAUAUCCAACAGCCUCAUUAGAAUCUGCAUCGACAAUGAUGCCAUCUGACAGAAAUAGCCUAUCUCCAUACAGUUCAUUUCUUUUAAACUUGCUUUAUGAUGCAUUUGCCGCCUGUAAUCACGUUGUGACAGCUAGGAUACAAACAAAUUCCCGCAACAGGAAGAAGGCUGUUAUCCUAAAUGUGAAGUUAUUUUAUUCUCAAAAAACGCCCGACAGCAAGUAAAAUAUUUAGUCGCUCACACAAACAAGCCCCGUUAAUCUCACAAGCGCGCACAAGAGGGAGAUAAGCAUAUUGAAAUAAAAUUAUUCACAUUGCAAGAUCGGAAUGAAAUGGCCUACACAUUACACACGCUAGGCAUCUGUAUAUGCCUAAAUAAAACUCACGUUAUAUGCUACACCAGAAGAGGCACGAAUAAAACAAGUCUUACCAUUGAAGAUCAGUUUUUUAAGUACAUGGCCACAUUCGUUAUAAAACUAUCUACAUAGUCCAACCAUCGAGGUUUAAUCCAUGUUGUUGUGGAGAAAGAAGAUGGCAUCAAUCAUAUUUCAUUAAAGCUUCACACUUCUUACAUUGGACAUAUCAAACAGCCUCAUUAGAAUCCACAUCGACUAUGAAGUCUUCCGACAGAAAUAUCUCCAUACAGUACAUUUCCCCUCAUUAAGUGUCGUUUUAAACUCUCCAGAUGACAGUUUCUUUUUUAAAAAAAAAAACGUUAAGUGCACAAAGUGAUUUAAUUUACUCUCAAAAACGAACUUCUGCAUUAUAUGAAGCAAACAUGUUCCAGUGUUGGGAAAGUUCACUUUCUACAUGAACUAGUUCAGUUCAUAGUUCACAAAUUUUAGAAUGAACUAGUUCAGUUCAUAGUUUAUAAUUCAAGAUUUAGAACUAAGUUCACAGCUCCAAAAAAUGGAGUUCUUUUUUUCAAUAUGCUGCGAGUUAUAAUUUUUCUGCAAUACCGCUCUCGGCCUCUACGCAACUCGGCGCACACACAUUGUACUUGCUUAAAACACACAGCUGUCA